UACGCCUAGAAACGUGCAGUGGCCUCAUUCCAUGAUGUGCGAGUAAGGAGGAGAUAUCCCUCUGGCAGCCGGUGCCGCAAUACACACACCUGCUUUAUGACCUUCCAUGGGUGAUAGAGUGAUGGCUAUAGUGUGGGAUGGCUAAAGGACGUGGCAAAAGAGACUGGAAGUGAGUGUUUGACAUACGUUUCUCACCUGGGAGCCAACACUGGCUUUGGCAGUUUGAUACGCAACAGUUGCUUCCAUUUCCAUUGGUAAUCCCAACACUGCUGCCCGAACUGCACGCUCAGCUUCCCAGAACCGAGUUGGAUUGACACUGGCUCAAGGAGUCCCAAGGCUCAGAGUGCUCCCACAUCCUACCUAAUUCUCAAGGCACAAAG
ensembl:lncRNA